rnacentral:rRNA from 1 species
UACAGAGGGGGCAAGCGUUGUUCGGAAUUACUGGGCGUAAAGGGCGCGUAGGCGGCCUGUUAAGUCGAACGUGAAAUACCCGGGCUCAACCCGGGAACUGCGUCCGAUACUGGCAGGCUUGAAUCCGGGAGAGGGAUGCGGAAUUCCAGGUGUAGCGGUGAAAUGUGUAGAUAUCUGGAGGAACACCGGUGGCGAAGGCGGCAUCCUGGACCGGCAUUGACGCUGAGGCGCGAAAGCGUGGGGAGCAAACAGG